rnacentral:rRNA from 1 species
UACGGAGGGUGCAAGCGGUACUCGGAAUCACUGGGCGUAAAGGGCGCGUAGGCGGCCUAGCAAGUCUGGUGUGAAAGCCCAGGGCUCAACCCUGGAAGGGCACUGGAAACUGUUAGGCUUGAGUUCCGGAGAGGAGGGGGGAAUUCCCGGUGUAGCGGUGAAAUGCGUAGAUAUCGGGAGGAAUACCGGUGGCGAAGGCGCCCCUCUGGACGGAAACUGACGCUGAGUCGCGAAAGCGUGGGGAGCAAACGGG